CGCAGAAGGAGAACAGGAAUGAGAAACGACGACGAAAAAAAAUAAAGAUUAUAUUCUUCGAAAAAUCUCUUUCUCUUGUUCGCAAUUUUAACUCUUGCUUUCUCUUUCUUUUUUCUUUCUUUAGAU
rnacentral:ribozyme from 14 species